GUCCGGGUGGUGGAAUUGGUAGACACGCUACUUUGAGGGGGUAGUGGCCGUUCGGCUGUGUGAGUUCGAAUCUCAUCUCGGACA
rnacentral:tRNA from 4 species